UACGUAGGGUGCGAGCGUUGUCCGGAAUUAUUGGGCGUAAAGGGCUCGUAGGCGGUUUGUCGCGUCGGGAGUGAAAUCCACUGGCUUAACUGGUGGCUUGCUUUCGAUACGGGCAGACUGGGGGUAUGCAGGGGAGAACGGAAUUCCUGGUGUAGCGGUGAAAUGCGCAGAUAUCAGGAAGAACACCCGUGGCGAAGGCGGCUCUCUGGGACGGUACUGACGCUGAGACGCGAAAGCGUGGGGAGCGAACAGG
rnacentral:rRNA from 1 species